CUACUGACCUGGCAGAGAAGAUGCCAUGGUCAAGGAUAUGGUUUUCCCAAGGCUUGUCUUAUCCUUUGUACUCCAGUUGUUCUGAGCCCCAUGAGUAUAGGAAAAUCAACUUUGUAAUUUGUGGUAGUUGGGGGAUUGUGUUUGUGCUCUCUCCUA
ensembl:snRNA U1 U1 spliceosomal RNA